rnacentral:ncRNA from 6 species
AGCUGGUGUUGUGAAUCAGGCCGG